rnacentral:rRNA from 1 species
UAAUUAAAUUUGGUUAGUGAGAAAAAUCAGCUUUAAAUUCUUUAUAAAUUUUACUAGAAUUUCAUAAAAUUAGAAGAUAAAAUUUAUUUAAUAAUUAAAAAUAUUGAGAUUUAAGCUUUCUCUAGAAAUUUGUGCCAGCAUC